CUGGAAUUCACUUCCAUUGAAACGACAGUUACUGGAAGACGUGUGCGUUCUACUGGGAUGAUGUUUGUGCCUCUAUUGUGCAAGAGUGUAUCCUAACGCGUAUUAUUUAAGAAUUCAUCUUCCACCUUUCACGAUUUCUCCAAGGGAAAUAAGAAGUUACCGUCAUGACUAAAAGAGGAGUUUCCGUCUUUAUAUUGAUGCUGCUUAUGGUUCAAGCAGCAACAGCUGAUCCCUGGUGUUACGUCACGCCCCUUCUGGGGGCGGGGGCAGCUGUGGGGGCCAUGAUGCGGUCCGUCGGCUCUAGAACCAUUCAUGGAUUUAAAGGGGUGGUAACUGCGAGUACAGCAGGCGUAGCGGGCGCCUUUGUCGCCUCCUACUUGUUCCCGUGCGGCGACUGUGGCUGCUUGGACAUGGAAUGAGAAGGUUACAGACAAGCGCAAAAGAUAUCCAUCAUUGCGCCAUCAACACAAAGGGAGCAAAAUAUGGCAAACAAUGACGUCUGAAAAUGGCCAUUGCUACAAUUUAUGGAUUCAAAAUAUUAUAUUAUAUUUUUAUUAUAGUUCUCGAUUUCAAAGGAAUUUACAUAGGCACGGCCUUCCUUGGUCGUUAUCUGAAAAUGAGUUGGAUUUUCUUAGCCCAAUUUGAAAGUUACGUACUUUUUAUUAUUAAUCAUGAAAUGAAUAACUGAACAAGCGAUCAUCUAACUCCUUAGAUUGUAAAAAGAAAUUGGGCUGCCAGUCAUCCCUAACAUAGUUCUAUUUUGCACCUCGAUAUUAUUUUUGCAAGGAGACUACGUCAUGGUUCAUUUACGAGUACACGUAGUAGGCAUGACAUGGACAAACAAAUAAAAUAAACAGGUGGGACUUGCGACCAAAUA